GUGCAUGCAAAGUAGUGGGUCUGCACAUCCAGACCUCCAUGAAUAUUUAUAUCAGAUAAUUUAAGAUUUGAUCUCUGAUUUCACUGCUAAUCAGGUAAGAAUUUGAUCCUUAAUCAUGUAGAUGAAUAUAAAAACUUUUAGAUGCAAUCUGGGCCUUCCGAGCAGAAAUAGUUUCUUUCUCUUUAAUUGAUUCAUUAUUUUAGCUGCAUCUUAUGAUGUCUAAGAUUAUGUGAACCCCAAAGAUUAGGACAAUAAGUUUAGAAGAC
rnacentral:lncRNA from 1 species